UCCAGGAGAGAGAUGGUGGCGGCCUGAACCAGGAUGGUAGCAGCGGAGGUGGUGAGAAGUGGCUGGAUUUUGGAUGUAUUAUGAAGGUGGAAGAGACAACAUUUGCCAAUAAGUUAGAUGCAGAGUGAAAGGGAAAGAUUCCUCAAGGGUGAUACUAAGGUUUUGAACCCGAACAGCACUAUAUAUCUGAAAUUCAAGGGAGAGAUUCCUAUUUACAGAGGAAAAAAGAGCAGAGAAUGGAACCCUGGGGAUUAGAGAAGGUUAUAAUCAGCAAAAGGAGACAGCAACUGAAUGGCAGGAAACCAUGAUUGCGUAGACUACUGAGAGUCAAGUGAAGGAACCGUUUCAAGAAGCGUCAGUUAUUUCAGCUGCAUCAAAGGCUGCUGAGAGGUUGAGCAAGGAAGCAAGACCAUGGGCUGAAAGUGAGGGGAGGGGAAAGGCAUUGGAGCUAUGAGAACAGACAUCUCUCCCAAGGCUAUUGUGAGCAUGAAAUGAUAUGACCCAAGUUCAAAGCCUGGAUCAUAGGAGGAAGUACUUAAAAAUGAACAGCAGUGGAGCGGGCUCCUGGUGGCUAAGCUGCCCUGCCUUUCCCACCUUCCCUAUGGUGGGGCGCGCCUUUGUGUCUACAUUCUCCCCACAGGCUUGUGAGCAGAAGUCAUCCAUGUCCCCAUGAGGCCAGCACAUAUAUCUUCUCCACUUGCUCCUCCACACUCUUCUCCUGCUUCCUACUUGUGAGAAUGGUGACCAGCAGAGCCACGCAGAAAGCCACAUGCCGAAGACAGAAGAGCUGCCAUCAGCCUGGGUCCCUGGCUAACGGUGGGAGGAUGGACUCCUGCCAAAGUGGGGCCUCUCCAUACUGUCAUGCGAGAGAAAUGCAAAACUGUAUACCAGUUAAGCCCCUGAGCUGUUACUAAACUUACUAAACGUACUUUCCUUUAAUGCACGGGGUUAACUGGUGUAACAUACCCAAAGAAUAGUGACCAAUGCUUGAACAUCAGCCUGGAAGGGGAACACGAGCAGCGUGCCGCAGGGUUCUGUUUUGAUGCUGACACACAUCAUUUAAGCGACAGCUCAGACAAGGCUGUGGAAGAUGUGCUUCUCAGAUUUAAAAAUGACACUAUGCUGAGAGGGAUAGCUGGUCAAAUUUUAAAAGAUUUCGACAAGUUAAAAAUAACAAGUGAUAUUUCCUAAGCAUUUAAUGUCAGUCAGGCUCUGGGUUAAAUGCUUUCCAAACAUGAUCUUGUUUAAUACUUAUGAUGAUCCUAUGAUGUAGAAAUAUUACCUCCCUUUCUGAGAUGGGAAAACAGAAACGUCAAGAGAUUAAGUAAGGAACUGGUAAAUGAUAGCACUGGGAUUUCAACCUGGAGUCUGUGGUUCUGACCACUUUGCUUAGGGUGGUCCUGGGUGUAGGUUGGUUUGGGCAGCCCUGGUUGUUUAUGUUGUCUCAAAAUAAUUGUUAAUAAUAAUAAUAACACCUGCUUUCAGUCUUAAAAUGGUCACAAUUUAUAUGAUAAAUUAUAUGAUCACUUUUGUGAUUCUGCCCAGUCUAAACCCUAUAAGAUAAAAUUCAAGAGAAAUCAC